rnacentral:piRNA from 1 species
GCUUGCAGACAAGCGGGAACAAGGUAG